UAAAGAAUUUCGGUCAUCGAUGGGGAUGCGUUCCAUUAGCUUGUUGGCGGGGUAACGGCCCACCAAGGCAUCGAUGGAUAGGGGCUCUGAGAGGAAGGUCCCCCACAUUGGAACUGAGACACGGUCCAAACUCCUACGGGAGGCAGCAGUGAGGAAUAUUGGUCAAUGGGCGCUAGCCUGAACCAGCCAAGUAGCGUGAAGGAUGACUGCCCUAUGGGUUGUAAACUUCUUUUAUAUGGGAAUAAAGUGCAGUAUGUAUACUGCUUUGCAUGUACCUUAUGAAUAAGGAUCGGCUAACUCCGUGCCAGCAGCCGCGGUAAUACGGAGGAUCCGAGCGUUAUCCGGAUUUAUUGGGUUUAAAGGGAGCGUAGGCGGGUUGUUAAGUCAGUUGUGAAAGUUUGCGGCUCAACCGUAAAAUUGCAGUUGAUACUGGCAUCCUUGAGUACAGUAGAGGUAGGCGGAAUUCGUGGUGUAGCGGUGAAAUGCUUAGAUAUCACGAAGAACUCCGAUUGCGAAGGCAGCCUGCUGGACUGUAACUGACGCUGAUGCUCGAAAGUGUGGGUAUCAAACAGGAUUAGAUACCCUGGUAGUCCACACAGUAAACGAUGAAUACUCGCUGUUUGCGAUAUACAGUAA
rnacentral:rRNA from 1 species